UACGUAGGGUCCGAGCGUUGUCCGGAAUUACUGGGCGUAAAGGGCUCGUAGGCGGCCAACUAAGUCGGAUGUGAAAUCCCCAGGCUCAACUUGGGAACUGCAUCCGAUACUGGAUGGCUUGAAUUCGGGAGAGGGAUGCAGAAUUCCAGGUGUAGCGGUGAAAUGCGUAGAUAUCUGGAGGAACACCGGUGGCGAAGGCGGCAUCCUGGGCCAACACUGACGCUGAGUGAGCGAAAGCCAGGGGAGCAAACGGG
rnacentral:rRNA from 1 species